CCGCGUGAGGGAUGACGGCCUUCGGGUUGUAAACCUCUUUCAGCAGGGACGAAGCGCAAGUGACGGUACCUGCAGAAGAAGCACCGGCUAACUACGUGCCAGCAGCCGCGGUAAUACGUAGGGUGCAAGCGUUGUCCGGAAUUACUGGGCGUAAAGAGUUCGUAGGCGGUUUGUCGCGUCGUUUGUGAAAACCAGCAGCUCAACUGCUGGCUUGCAGGCGAUACGGGCAGACUUGAGUACUGCAGGGGAGACUGGAAUUCCUGGUGUAGCGGUGAAAUGCGCAGAUAUCAGGAGGAACACCGGUGGCGAAGGCGGGUCUCUGGGCAGUAACUGACGCUGAGGAACGAAAGCGUGGGUAGCGAACAGGAUUAGAUACCCUGGUAGUCCACGCCGUAAACGGUGGGCGCUAGGUGUGGGUUCCUUCCACGGAAUCCGUGCCGUAGCUAACGCAUUAAGCGCCCCGCCUGGGGAGUACGGCCGCAAGGC
rnacentral:rRNA from 1 species